rnacentral:rRNA from 1 species
AUUGAACGCUGGCGGCAGGCCUAACACAUGCAAGUCGAGCGGAUGAAGGGAGCUUGCUCCUGGAUUCAGCGGCGGACGGGUGAGUAAUGCCUAGGAAUCUGCCUGGUAGUGGGGGAUAACGUCCGGAAACGGGCGCUAAUACCGCAUACGUCCUGAGGGAGAAAGUGGGGGAUCUUCGGACCUCACGCUAUCAGAUGAGCCUAGGUCGGAUUAGCUAGUUGGUGGGGUAAAGGCCUACCAAGGCGACGAUCCGUAACUGGUCUGAGAGGAUGAUCAGUCACCCUUGAAGUGAGAACCGGUCCAGACUCCUACGGGAGGCAACAGUUGGGAAUAUUAGACAAUGGGCGGAAGCCUUAUCCAGCCAACGCGCGUGGGUUAAAAAGGGCUUCCGGUUGUAAAGCACUUUAAGUUGGGAGGAAGGGCAGUAAGUUAAUACCUUGCUGUUUUGACGUUACCAACAGAAUAAGCACCGGCUAACUUCGUG